AUGAACGCUGGCGGCGUGCCUAAUACAUGCAAGUCGAGCGAACAGACGAGGAGCUUGCUCCUCUGACGUUAGCGGCGUACGGGUGAGUAACACGUGGAUAACCUACCUAUAAGACUGGGAUAACUUCGGGAAACCGGAGCUAAUACCGGAUAAUAUAUUGAACCGCAUGGUUCAAUAGUGAAAGACGGUUUUGCUGUCACUUAUAGAUGGAUCCGCGCCGCAUUAGCUAGUUGGUAAGGUAACGGCUUACCAAGGCAACGAUGCGUAGCCGACCUGAGAGGGUGAUCGGCCACACUGGAACUGAGACACGGUCCAGACUCCUACGGGAGGCAGCAGUAGGGAAUCUUCCGCAAUGGGCGAAAGCUUGACGGAGCAACGCCGCGUGAGUGAUGAAGGUCUUCGGAUCGUAAAACUCUGUUAUUAGGGAAGAACAAAUGUGUAAGUAACUAUGCACGUCUUGACGGUACCUAAUCAGAAAGCCACGGCUAACUACGUG
rnacentral:rRNA from 1 species